AACGAACGCUGGCGGCAUGCCUAACACAUGCAAGUCGAACGAUCCCUUCGGGGAUAGUGGCGCACGGGUGCGUAACGCGUGGGAACCUGCCCUUAGGUUCGGAAUAACUCAGAGAAAUGUGAGCUAAUACCGGAUAAUGUCUUCGGACCAAAGAUUUAUCGCCUUUGGAUGGGCCCGCGUUGGAUUAGCUAGUUGGUGGGGUAAAGGCCUACCAAGGCGACGAUCCAUAGCUGGUCUGAGAGGAUGAUCAGCCACACUGGGACUGAGACACGGCCCAGACUCCUACGGGAGGCAGCAGUGGGGAAUAUUGGACAAUGGGCGAAAGCCUGAUCCAGCAAUGCCGCGUGAGUGAUGAAGGCCUUAGGGUUGUAAAGCUCUUUUACCCGGGAUGAUAAUGACAGUACCGGGAGAAUAAGCCCCGGCUAACUCCGUG
rnacentral:rRNA from 1 species